GACGAACGCUGGCGGCGUGCCUAAUACAUGCAAGUCGAGCGAAGCGGCGGAUGGGUGAGUAACGCGUGGGUAACCUGCCCUUAAGUCUGGGAUUCCCUUUGCCAACCGAUGCUCAUACCGGCUCAUAAAGGAUGGAGCUGCGAUGCAUUAGCUAGUGGGUAAGGUAAAGGCUUACAAAGGCGAUGAUGCAUAGCCGAGUUGAGAGACUGAUCGGCCACAUUGGGACUGAGACACGGCCCAAACUCCUACGGGAGGCAGCAGUAGGGAAUAUUGCACAAUGGACGAAAGUCUGAUGGAGCAACGCCGCGUGAAUGAAGAAGGUUUUCGGGUCGUAAAGCACUGUUGUUGGUGAAGCGGUAAUCGAACAGGAAGUAACGGCUAACUACGUGCCAGCAGCCGCGGUAAUAC
rnacentral:rRNA from 1 species